AGUGAACGCUGGCGGUAGGCCUAACACAUGCCAGUCGAACGGCAGCACAGUAAGAGCUUGCUCUUACGGGUGGCGAGUGGCGGACGGGUGAGGAAUACAUCGGAAUCUACUUUUUCGUGGGGGAUAACGUAGGGAAACUUACGCUAAUACCGCAUACGACCUACGGGUGAAAGCAGGGGAUCUUCGGACCUUGCGCGAUUGAAUGAGCCGAUGUCGGAUUAGCUAGUUGGCGGGGUAAAGGCCCGCCAAGGCGACGAUCCGUAGCUGGUCUGAGAGGAUGAUCAGCCACACUGGAACUGAGACACGGUCCAGACUCCUACGGGAGGCAGCAGUGGGGAAUAUUGGACAAUGGGCGCAAGCCUGAUCCAGCCAUACUGCGUGGGUGAAGAAGGCCUUCGGGUUGUAAAGCCCUUUUGUUGGGAAAGAAAAGCAGCAGGUUAAUACCCCGCUGUUCUGACGGUACCCAAAGAAUAAGCACCGGCUAACUUCGUG
rnacentral:rRNA from 1 species